AAAAGCGCUAUAAGAUCACAAGGUGACAUGAACAUGUGGGGCAAAUUAUAAAGCUAAUGAUAUUCAUAUACAGAAUGGAAGAAGUUUAUUACCGGCGGAAACUGUACGCGCUCUUUGUACACAAGCAUAUACAUUGCUACUUCGUAUACAUACAACUGGUGUAGAGUAUAAUACGAUGGGGCCAUAACAGGGGUUAGUUAACUCUAAUUAACAUACUUAUAUGCGCUACAUACACAUACGAUCGAUCAUGUAUGUAUAAUUGAUGCUUCAUGGGCGAUGGAACCACAGCUUCCUCUGCUUGAUGAACUCCUCCGCCUUCUUGUUGAUGUCGUCUCCUUCCGCGCCGCCGCUGCCGCCGCCUCGUGGAGCACGGGAGAGGCCGUAGACGGAGGGCCUGGAGACCAGGCUGUGGACCUCGAUCUUGGGCACCUUCUCCACCGCCACCUCCCCGGCAGCCCCAGCACCGGCAGCGCCGGUCGCCGGCGGAGCAGGGUUCUUGCCCCAACGAAUCAUGUCCUUCUCCUUCUUGCUACCCGUACACGAGCCUAGCUAGCAAGCUAAUGAUUGGUCAGAUGCUUCUCCGGCUUCCUGAUCGAUCAGCUUUGAUUGAGUUUGCUGGAUGAUGGAGUUUGCAACCGAUGGCCUACUACGUUUAUAUAGCGAGAGAUCCUCUUGGCAGUGGCACUUUGCGCUACGGUUCUUGGACGACGAUAGAUGCACGUGUUCUCAGGUGUCUGAUUGCUUUAGGUAAGCUGC
rnacentral:lncRNA from 1 species